CCCCUCGGGCUGUGGCGUCCGCUGCCCGCCGCCGUCCUUCGGGAGGGUGAGCGGGCCGCGGGGGUGUGAGAAUGGCUUUGAGAGGUAAAACGCGUCAGCAGUAUUAAAAAAUCAGGCUGAUCGUUAAAAUGAUGGUUUAUAACUUGCGUUAUGGUCGCACGGGGGAUCAGGUCAGCGGUAGGUCCCCGGGGCGGGCGGCUGUCGCCUCAGCAACGAGGCACUACCUACAGUCUACCCUGUGGGUGCCAGUACCUGAAGACGCAGUCAGCGCAACACCUGGAAAAGAUCCCUUCCUGUCGUUCUGCUGCACAAGUAGAAGAGCUUAGUGCACAAUAAUCCUGUGUGGGUACCGCUGGAGGGGGAGGGCAGAAGAGGGACUCCUGAAGCCACUGAAGGAAGGAAAUCAUUACAGGGUUCUACAGAAGUAGGUCAUGUGCUACAGCUGCUCAUAGUUUAAGAGGAAGAAACAUGGGACCUCAAACAUGGAACAUGACUCCUUCAAAAUGCUUGAGAGCAACCCAAGAAAAACAUCCUCAGAGGCUUAUUUAAUAAACAUUAUCUAUAAUAGUCUCAAUGUGUGCUCAUGUUUCCUUAGGAGUUUGCACCUACUUCCCAGAGCUAACAAGAUUCCAAAAUAGAGCGCAGAAUAAUUUAAUGAAAAGGAUUUAAUAGUUUGUGUUAAAGCUAAUAUGGUCCAUUAGGAGCUGUCAUUUUAUAAACAAUGAAGAUAUGUUACCCUCUCUAUUGCCGUAAAGCCAUUCCAAGCAGGGUUUGUAAACAGUCAGUAAUGAUCUAUAGAACAUGCACAAAAGACAAUUAGAGCCACAUUUGAAAAAUGUGCUUUCCCUCCCAUUUGAUUUCUUUUUAAGUAAA